ACCUACGGGACGCAGCAGUGAGGAAUAUUGGUCAAUGGGCUUACGCCUGAACCAGCCAAGUCGCGUGAGGGAAGACUGCCCUAUGGGUUGUAAACCUCUUUUGUCAGGGAGCAACGCCGGCUACGUGUAGCCGGACUGAGAGUACCUGAAGAAAAAGCAUCGGCUAACUCCGUGCCAGCAGCCGCGGUAAUACGGAGGAUGCGAGCGUUAUCCGGAUUUAUUGGGUUUAAAGGGUGCGUAGGCGGAAUGCCAAGUCAGCGGUAAAAUCGCGGGGCUCAACCUCGCUUCGCCGUUGAAACUGGCGU
rnacentral:rRNA from 1 species